rnacentral:tRNA from 1 species
GUUUUGUGGCUCAGUGGUAGAGUGCUCGCCUAAUAUGUACGAGGCACUGGGUUUGAUCCUCAGCACCAUACA